rnacentral:lncRNA from 1 species
UGGGCACCUGUAAUCCCAGCUACUCAGGAGGCUGAGGCAGAGAUCGCAUCACUGCACUCCAGCCUGGGUGACAGAGGGGAGAGUAGGUCUCAAAAAAAAAAAAAAUCAAACAGGAGGGAGGGCACCUUGUCAACCCCACCUUUGACACUACUCUAGUUGAAAACAAAAUCAACCCGGGUUUAGGGAAUGAGACUUAAUAGGAAUUCUCACCUCUUUCCCAUUUUUUAUUCACCAUCAAGAAAGAUAUAGUUGGCUUUGAAUUAAAUACAGAUUUCUAAGAGAUAUACCAGGCCAUCAUAUGGAAAAAUUUAAUAUUGAGGUAAUUGCAAAACAAUAUCUAUGCUAUUUUGCUAUGUGGAUGACAGGGAAAACACACUAGAAAAACGUAUUUUUAAUGAAAUGUAGCUGAAAUGUUGCUUUCGGAGCAUUUAGUAUUCUUGGAUACCAGCUUGGACAAUUCAGGCCAAACUGUACCAGCCCCAGGUUAGAUUAUCGACUGGGAGUCAGUACUUUCUGUGUCAAUGAUUAUACAUUUACUUCUUAAAUUUAGGAUUUUAGCUUUUAAAUUUUCUUUUUACAUAAAAUCAAGGAAAAAAGCCUUUCAUCUCCACUGCUCUCCUAUUUCACUUGCCAGAACAAUUGGUAGUGAUUAAGAAGCCGUCCUACAUAUAAUGUGGUUAGUUAAGCGGUCUAAUGCCCCAGUUAUCCAGUUAGUGGCAGGCAGUGAGGUGGGGAUUUGGUUAGUAGAGCCAAACAGAGGAGCGGUAAUCUAAUUAGCCUGUUGCCAUCUGAGGCCGUUGGCUAAGAUGGGGGCUAACUGGGUGUGGAGCAGUUUUGCUGGGUGAGGUUUAGUUUCCAACGCUGUAGGAAUCUGCUGCUUCCAAAAAGUCUCCUUUAGAACUAUCCCCUAGCAGAGAAUGUCCAUCAGCCUGUAGAUUGUCUCAUCAACACAUCAAACAUGCUCUACCCAACCCCUGCCGCGCUUUUUUUUUUUUUUUUUUGCAUAUAACAAUGUCAGAGACAGCCAGAACUACAGACCAGAUUUCCAAUGAGGUAAUUUGUUUAUAUACUUUAGGACCAACCUAAUUUCUUUUUCUGCUGAGUUUCACAGCUAGAAGGGCCAGAGAUCUGAGUGUGGUCCCUACGGUGGGGUGUGUGGCGGUACCCAAAGACCUUUGCAGUUUGGCAAGUGGUUGUUUCCUCUUGGAAAACAGGUAUAGAAGGGACAUUUUAUUUUAAAUGCUGGAAGCCAAUGGCCAUAUGAUUUAGAGAGCAUUGAACUCUGUAGGGAGUGAAGAAGUUACCUUUUUCUUUUCUUUUUUUUCUUUUUUUCCUGCUCUGUCGCCAGGCUGGUGUGCAGUGGUGUGAUCUUGGCUCACUGCAACCUCCGCCUCCCAGGUUCAAGCGAUUCUCGUGCCUCAGCCUCCUUAGUAGCUGGAAUUACAAGCAUGCGCCA